UCUGUCUCUCUCAAAAAUAAACGUUAAAAAUAAAAAUAAAAAAAAAAGUCAGUGUGGCAGUUGUUCAUGACAACAACGUACUCCAAGGACGGUGGUCAGGAGCAGGGGCACCUCAAGUACAGCUCCCACUAGCCUCUAUGUCUGGUCUUAUGCUCACUCUCCUCUACUCACAACCCUCUGCCCUCUCGCAGUGGCCGGCUUCUUUACAUCGAGUCUCUUCUCCUCCCUCCCAUCAUUCUUCUGUACCUGUCUCCAGACUGAACGUGCCCUUCUAGAACUCACGUGUUGAAACCUCACCCCAGUACGAUGAUGGUUGGAGGUGGGGUCUUCCUGGACGUGAUUUAGGUCAGGAGGAUGGAGCCCUCGUGAAAGGGGUUAGGUCCUUGUAAGAGAGACCUCAGAGAGCUCCCUUGUCCCAUCUGCCAUGCGAGGACACAGCAAGAAAACAACCAUCUGUGAAUCAGGAAUUGGGCCUUUACCAGACACCGAAUCUGCCAACACCUUGACCUUGGACUUCCAGCCUCCGGACCUGUGAGACGUAACGGUCUGUUGUUAGAGCCGCCCAGGGCAUGGAGUUUUGUUACGGCAGCCUGAAUGGACUGAGACGUGCUUUUUUCUGUUCUCCCUCUUUUUACCCCCUCACUCAUCCCCUGUGAGCUUUCUCUUCCUCUUCCUCUCAUUUUCGAUUUGCCUCUUCUCCCCUGCCCACCUUCUCCCUUCUUGGCCAAAUCCAUGGAACUAAGCUUUAUUUUAAAGUGGUCUUCUGAUUUAUUAAGUACCGGUCUCUCAGCUCUUAAUUUUUCUCACGGAGCAUUGGAAUCUUACGGGCAUUUGCACCGCAACAAAGGACAGAUUAGUUUUUUUUUAGUUGUGUGUGGCAAAAAAAAAAAAAAAAAAGAAUAAACGUUCUCUGUGAUGACAGGUGGCUCUUGAGAAGGUGAGGAGUGCCUGGCAGACUCCCCCGGACGCCCUGCUGCUUCUGCACGCCGGCAUAGCCUGGCAGUUUCUCUCUCUCACCUGAGCAGUAGCAUCCAGAAAGCUGGCCAGUUCCCAAGCGAUGGAAGCAAGUUACCCUACUGCCCACAGCUCCUACCUGAUGAAGAAAAACAAAGGGUCUGCGGGUGGUGUCUGACUUUAUGUAGGGAAUUAGGUAAGUGCCUUGCGAGGAAUGUAUCCUGUUAUCCACUGCCUGCCUUUCCAAAUCCAGGUUUCUGUCCAGUUAUUGUUGGGGCAACACGCAUUAACUAGAGGGUAUCAGUGUGUUCAGCAGAGUGCGAUUCCUGAAGUACUAGGUGAGGAGAAAUCCCAAAUUUAUUUCUCAAAUCAACAAAAACAAGCGUGAUCUGUAUUUCUGGUGUUUUCGAUGGGACAGUCAAUACGUACCUUUCUCCUUAAUUUGAGUAACUGACAAAAGUUCAUCAACAAUGUCAGCAUGGCUCUGUCAUGACUGUCCUGUGGUGAGUUCAUUGGAAGGAAAAUUGUGUAAUGAUGGAAAAGAACUGGAAAAGAAUAACAGUCCGUCAUUCCUACUUUCGAACCCUCGAGUCUUCAACUUCUCCAGGUAAGUUAAUUGAAGCAGAUUCUUAGACAGAAUAUGAGGAAAAUCAUUUUGUGCUAGCACCAUAGACCUCCGUGCUGUUUCUCUUUAAAAUUUGUAGAAACGGAAGUUGUUAGCUUGUUUUCUUGGUCAACAGAUUAAUCUGCCUCCCCUGUGGGUCUCUGCUGUUUUUCCGUUCACUCAGCUCAUACGUUCCUUGGCACAGUGCUUUCCCCCUUCUGGAUGCUCAAGAAAUAUGAUUUGAUGAUAAGCCUGCCUGUGAUUUCCAGAUGCCUUUGUUUCCCUCCUGUUGAUUCCUCAGUCUUGCCAGGGAAGGGAAAGGCAGGUGGCUCCAACCCAGGACAGUCCCUUUGUCUCCUCUGUAUAAGCCUAUUCAGCCUGGCCGGACCAGCGACUGUGGGGAUUCCUAGAACCAGACGACAACCUGCAGAGGAGAGUGGAAGAGCAGGGAAAGGUCAAGGACGGCAUGAGUGGGGCACCCCGACAGCCAUGGACCCGGCUAAUGGGCCGUCACGUGAGGAAAGCUGGUCAUGGGGCCUCCCAGCUCCAGCCAUGAGAAUCAGGCUGUAGUUUUCAAUUAUAUGGCUCAGGAGUUAGAUGUUUAUCUGCACUGUCGUCUGGGGGGUGCUGUAGCUUGUGACUUAUUAAGGCAACAAAAGGAUUGGCCGAUGAUGACCGAGCCUUUGUAUAGAACGAAAACCACCUACAGCUUACUAAGCGAUCGACCCAAGUCUAACCAUAUUUCCAACAGGCUGAGUAACGUGGAAGGACAGGGUAACCUGAUGGAGGACAUUAAUUCUUCUUCUCCAGUUAUGAGAGGAAAAGAAGCUUAUUUCCUUUUAUCAAAUGGCAAAGGGACUCCUGGAGGGAAAGAGUUGGAUUCGUGCAGAAGAAGAGGGGGGAGCAGCCUAAGGAAGGAGGCGCCGAUGGCAUCCACUUCAGUAGUAGCAUCUGGCUCCUGGGACAAGAGUGUUUGCCUGGCUGGUUCCUGGAACAGAAGUGACGUGGGACCCGGGGCAGCAGCAGGGACGGUUGAGCCUUGUGGCAGUGCAAACUGUAAUGUGCCCGACUCAGUGGCGGCAAAGGUCCUGCUGCAGACCUGUUCCUGUGCGUGGUUUAGGGCACAGACCCUGGAGGCCACGAGCUGAUUUCUGCAGAUGACUCAAGGAUACUGCGUGUUCCUCGGUCUACUCUUUUCUGCUAGAUCCACCGUAAUUAACUACUGUUCCUGGCAACUGUUCCUGGUCUGAUCCUGGCUAACUAUCCUUAUUAAAACAUGUCCCCAGAGUCUAUAUACACACAAGCAAUGAUACAUUUUUCUGUUUAAGAAUGGGACUCUGGUAUAUACACACCGGGUAGCUUAGACCCACUCUUUCCCGUUAACCACUCUGCAAGAGUCCGUGGAAUUGUAUGUUUCACCAUAAUUUGCUAACCAAACCCCCUACUGAUUUACAUUUAAGAGAUUUUCCUCUUUUGAUUCUUGUAUGCAAGGUAGCAGUGAAAACCCUGACACAUUUAUCUUUACCAGUUCAUGCUGUGAUUCUUGUAUAGAUUCCUAGCAAUAAAAUUUCUGGAUUAUCACAUA